GUUGACGGAGCCCAGCAGCAAAGCAGAUGAGUACCUGCUGCAGUCCCUGCUGUAUUUGCAGAGCCCACAGGAGUCAACGCGAGAGGCGGCUGUCAGGUUUAUUGGGCUCGCUGGGCGACGGAUGAGGUAUCAGGAGAAGGAGCUCCAGAUCAUCUACAAUGCCCUUCAAGGCAUGACAAAUGACAUCAGCCCCUCCGUCUCAAACCUGGCAGCUCAAACCCUCUUCCUGCUAAGAGGUGCAGAGAGAAGACCUUCCUUUGGAGUCAGGCUGCAGGCACUGCAGGACCGACUCCACAAG